AAUAUUUACUGGCAAAACAUGCAAGAACUGGGAAUCGGGGCUGGGGACACUACAGGGGGAAAAAUUAAAUAAUAUGUUGCACAUCCAUGAGGGCUUAAUGCUCUUGUGUCUACUGAUGUCUGCUGUUUAUAAGCACUGAUAAAAACAAGUCUAUAGUAUAAACUUUUAGUGAAUAUACAUUACAUACACAUGCACACAUGUACAUUUACAGAUAUAUGGGGGAACCCAAAGUAGAAAUCUUUUUUUACAAUCUCUGCCAUUUCACUGAUGUUUCAGCCUGCUUGAUAAGAAGCAGAGCAAACACAGAGGUUUGGGGCAAGGUCACUGGCAUCUACUGAUCUGAUACAAAUACCGCAGCAGCCCCCUUUUUUCUGAUCCCUGCACCAACAGCCCUUCUCCUCCUCCCCUUCCUUCUCCACGUGCUUUCUCUGUGCAGCCCACCCUUCCCCUGUCUGUCAGGCACAGCUCAUCACGGACUGCUAGUUGCAGAGUACAGCCAGCUCUUGUAGAGAAGGGAGAUCAAUGCUUUUUCCAUUGUUUCAUGCUGAACUCCACGGCAUUGACUGCAGGGAGCCAGCAACCUUGUCCAGCUCUGAGCUCAUCAGCAAAACUGUCCAGUGACGAGCAUAGCAGCUUGCCCAGCAAAAUGGCAUGAGUUGAUCUCCUUACUAGACGUUGGUAGAGGCGACACCUCAUGACAACAUGUCAGGACUCAGCCCUUCAGCUUCUUUGCCAGAAGAAAUGGGAAAUGGCACAUUUUUGGAACUGUUUCCAACCUCCCUCUCCACCUCAGUAGAUUCAUCAUCGUCCAGCCGAUUGUCAAACGUUUAUGUCUAUGUGUCCAUCUUCCUCAGUUUGUUAGCCUUUCUCCUCUUGCUAUUAAUUAUUGCACUUCAGAGACUGAAAAACAUCAUCUCGUCCACGUCCUCUUACCCAGAAUACACUAGUGAGGCGGGGAGCUCCUUCACCAAUUUGGAAGUGUGUAGCAUUUCCUCACAGCAGUCUUCUUUUUCCAACCUUUCUUCUUAGGGAUCGGAAACAAACGAAAAGCAUAAAAACAUACUGCAUGAGACUUUAAAAGCUAAAAACAGAACAAAAAAAAUAUAUCCGGCUAGCUCUAUUUUUAUUGUCGGUUCGUCUAAGGAUAAUGUUGGCUUUUUUUUCCAUCGGCUUGUAUUCAUAUGGCACUUAAUGAGCCUAUGCAGGAAUUCACCACUCAUGAUAUAACAAACAUAAGUGUAAUUAUUUCAUAUACAUUGAUUGAGCAUACUACAUUUUCUAAAAAAAAAAACAAAUGACAUACAUAUUUUGAAAUUGGUAUUUUAAAGGGAAAACAAAUUCAAGAUUUUUACAUACAUCACAGAAACGUAUAUUUCACCAUAUUUCCCAACUUUAUUUAUUGGUUAAUAUACCAUAAAAACCCCCCAGCUUCCUGUAAGAUGUCAGCUGAGAUUUCCAGGAUGGCUUUUUUUCUUUAUCCCAAAAUAUAAAAGGAGGUUAAAGUGCCUGCACAGGAAUGUGUUCAUUAUCAGAAAUAAAACCCAAUGUAAAUUAUUCUGCCAAUAUCCUUGGAAGACAUAAAUGCAAAGAGAAGAGUUUUCUGUAGUAAAGUCAAGGGCAACUAAUUGUUACCUCCUCUAUGAAGCUUACACAUUCUUUAACUAAUAGUUGUGUCAUCACAGAUUAAAGUUAUAUAUUGAGAUAUGUUUUAAUAAAAAUAUAUAUAUAUAUAUAUAUAUAUAUAUAUAUAUAUAUAUAUAUAUAUAUAUAUAACUUUGUAACUAGAGGUUUACUUCCUAUCUAAACUAUAUAUAUAUUAUCCAUUGUUAAACAUGAAACAAUUAGUAGAAACACAAGCAAAUUGAAGGUAACUAUCAAGUUAUCAUAAUGUUUCAGGAAUUAGCAGCCGUUUCCAUAUUUGUAGACUGAUCCUUGCUAUAAGAGCCAUAUAAUAAAACUUUUAUUUGGUGCCUUUUCCAUUGGAUAGAACACUUUUCAGAAGGUAUUUCCUUUUGAGGUGUUAUGUUCAAACGCAAAAGUACAAUACAUGUAAAUAGGCAAUGCAUGGUUCUUUUUAUUCAUACGUGCUACAAUUAUUGGCCAGGAUGCAGAACUCAAAAAUUGUCGUUGUCUGUAUUUAACUGGAAGCAUUUGUAAAAGGCAUCGCUCUGAAUAAGCUCUAUAAUAAAUGACAUUUGCUGC